rnacentral:sRNA from 1 species
GGACAAGCGAUGCUUGCCUGAUAGGUUGAGCUUUUGAAUGUAUCUAGCAUAUUCAGGAGGUUAAUUAUGGCAC